rnacentral:rRNA from 1 species
UACGAAGGGGCGUAGCGUUGUUCGGAUUUACUUGGCGUAAAGACGCACGUAGGCGGAUCGUUAAGUGAGGGGUGGAAAUACCCACGGGCGUCAACCCUCGGAACUGCCUUUCUAUACUGGCGAUCUUGAGUCCGGAAGAGGUGAGUGGAACUCCUAGUGUAGAGGUGGAAUUCGUAGAUAUUAGGAAGAACACCAGUGGCGAAGGCGGCUCACUGGUCCGGUACUGACGCUGAGGUGCGAAAGCGU